GUCGGACCUGUGGAUUGGAUCUCGCGGCAGGGCUGGUACGUCCUGACGGCCACCUCCCCGUCGGCAGCAACCCGGUGAGGCGCCUGCAGGGGGCAAAGGCUGGGCCUCGCAGGACGAGGGUAUCAAGAACUAAGGUACUUUGGCAUGGGAUGAGAAUCACGAUUGUUGUGGAGGAAAUGAAGAAUAUCUUGUUAUUUGGUUGAUACCAUCCAUGUUCUUUUAGGUUGAACAUUGCCAUAAUGGUUUCUCUCUACAACGAUUAUAUUAGAUCUAGCAUCAUGUCAUGGACAUCAUAAGCCUUUUCUGCCUUGAUAGUUGAUGUCUACAGUUUGAGUCAUGCUUCUGUUUAUGAGCCCAUUGAAAUGAGCCAAUUUCUUAUUUACAUGGUACACAAAUCCUUCGGCUAUCCAUCUCCAUAUGAACUAGUCUCUCUUAAUUUUGUAGUCUUGAUAUAUGCUUACAUAUAACGAAUGAUGUGAAGGAAGAUCGUAGAACAACAACAUAAUCUUUAGUCUUAAGCAAGUUAGGGUGGACUAGGGAUAGACCACAAUAGGAGCCAGACACACCAAUGAUAUGGAAAGUAGAAAAUAAAUAGUAAAAGAAGCUCUUGGCUUUUAGAUUAUGUUAAAGUGAUAAUACGGAGUCAAGACUCUUUUACUACUAGUUUUGAUCUACCUUGUCAUCUAUAGGAUUAGUUAUUAUCUAAUUUUUUUAGAAGAUUAAGCAAGGUCACUUGGUAUGUAAAUGGAUAGCCGAACGUGUUGUUUAUCAUGGAAAACAAGAGAUUAGCCUAUUUGAGCUCGGUGAUCAUAAAUAGAAGCAUGAUUCAACCAAUAGACAUCAAUUUGAUGGAGGCAUGGAAAAAUCUGAUCGUGUUCAUGAUAUGAUGAUUGAUCCCAUAUGUUUUUGCCAAGUCAAGAAAACCACUUACAUAGCACUGAGUGAAAGCGAUGUAUACAAAGGCAAGAUUUGAAUAUUAUCCUUCCGAAAGAACAUUUCAGACCAUCAGAAGCAGCAAUGCCACAAAUGAGGUAACUUGCAAUAUCUUAUCUACUAUUGUUGAUCUAGUGCUGCUUAUGUCGAGUACCUAUGUUGGAUCAAGAAUAAUGUCGUGUAUGUUAACGUUUCUCACCAUUUGAGACUGCUGAAAGUUGGAGAACACUGCAUUUGUCUUGGCGUUUCGAUUUGUCUUCCCUCUGCAAGGUCAUUGUACCCACUUACCUCUGAAUUCUGCAAAUUUUUGCAGCGGCUCUUGCGUUUUUCUCAUUAUGAAAAGAGUAUGUAAUAUGAUGUACUGCUGUCUGGUUAAUUUGCCUUGGCCUUUUGUAUCUUCUUUGAUAUCAAGUUCUCAUUGUGAUUGUACCCACUUAUGCCUAAAUUCCAUUAUCACUCCCGUGGAUUCGAGAAACAUGAAGUUUCAGCAGUGCCUCCUUUAUUAUAACUUAUGCUGAUUCAUGAACUUCAUUUUCCAUUUAUUUGUUUUGUAAAGCCGAAUAUGUGAACUUCCUUUUUCCAUUUAUUCAUUUUAUAAGGUAUAGUGUGUAAUUACGAUGCAUCGUUGCCUUGUUUGUCAGCUUUGAUUAUCCAUUGCGUCUAUUUCUUCCUAGUAGUUUUCCGAGUUGUUUUACUUCAGACUCGUGGAAUGAAAAUAUGGUCGUUUAGUUUAUACAAUCAUUUGAAAUUUUACCUUUUUAUCUAGCGGUUGUUGUUUGUUUUAUUUGUUCAAACUUGACUGAACAAAUGGAGGAGUGCAUUUAAAAUUAGAAGAACAAACCUCAACACAAGGAGUCUGAAAAACAACCAAUAUCUUGCUCAUUAAUAUAAUAUCAUAUUCGGGUAAAAAAAUACAUAGCCUCCUCUUCUCCAGAAUUAUAAUCCAGUGGCCAGCUGGAUUUUGAAUGCAGCAACUAAUUAAAAUGUAGAAAUCAUGCCGACAAGACCCCAUGUGGACUCAUCAUGCUUCAAGCUCAAGUGACCAGUUUCUCUGCUACAGGUACAUAAUGCCACAUGUGUCGCCAUGCAUAUUCUUGCCAUCCAAAGAUUACCAUGAGGGGCCAAAUUGCAUACCGAACUAUAUCAUAUCUUUUCUUCAUGACAACAACAUGGAGAAAAGUUCUCCCAUGGGUGUCACGUAAGCUGGCGCAACCCGGACACCUUAAAAGUAAGAUGAUGACAGAUGAAAGUCUCCCCGCUAAAGCAGCGACAUGUAUGGGGAAUGGCCCUUCUUCGUCCGGUUGAUAUGCUGAAUAUGCAUCUGCCUCCAAUAUUUGCAUGCUUUCUUUCGGACUCGAUGUUUAUUCCAGACUCAUAAACUGUGAUGUCAGAGUUCAGUUCGUACUAUGGUCUGAAGUUAAUCUUCCAUUUGUCACUGUGCCAUGAAGUAAAUAAUAUGCUGUAAUGCAGAGGAAGACCCGUUUAUUAGCAACUCAAUGGACAAGUUGCUGUUUCGACAGAAUUCUAAGUGAAGCUGAAGCUGAAAGCCUGAAGCCGAGCUCAACAUCAAACUCAGGCAAUCAUUCUGUCUAGUGCCUUUGGUACCUUGCCACGCUCUGGGUUACUAGUUCCUGGCGUUGUCAAAGUGCUGCGAGUUAGUUACUUUUGUCUACUCCUGAAAUCAAAAUUGUAACCAGGAAUUCAGAUUUAUCACCUCAUACACUUUAUCACGCCGAGAGGAGUUUUUUUCCGGCACAUCAAGCUCGAUCAGGUGCAUGCUCCAUGCGAUUGUAAAUGCCUUCUGUCGCCCCUGGAAUGCGAUCAUUUGGUCCAGGAUGCGGCUUCGCGUUUUCCGAGCCAACGGGAUAUAAAUCUACAUCGUAGUUAUAGGGCUGGCUGGGCCUUGAUAUCAAUGCAUUGCUUUUUUCCUAGCCUUUACAGACUCUUUCUUAUUUGAGGAGACCCGUCAACAUUCAGUUUGUGAGAUCUUCUGAAUUUUCUUCA